AUUGAACGCUGGCGGCAUGCCUUACACAUGCAAGUCGAACGGUAACAGGUCUUCGGAUGCUGACGAGUGGCGAACGGGUGAGUAAUACAUCGGAACGUGCCUAGUAGUGGGGGAUAACUACUCGAAAGAGUGGCUAAUACAGCAUGAGAUCUACGGAUGAAAGCAGGGGAUCGCAAGACCUUGUGCUACUAGAGCGGCCGAUGGCAGAUUAGGUAGUUGGUGGGAUAAAAGCUUACCAAGCCGACGAUCUGUAGCAGGUCUGAGAGGACGAUCAGCCACACUGGGACUGAGACACGGCCCAGACUCCUACGGGAGGCAGCAGUGGGGAAUUUUGGACAAUGGGCGCAAGCCUGAUCCAGCAAUGCCGCGUGCAGGAUGAAGGCCUUCGGGUUGUAAACUGCUUUUGUACGGAACGAAAAGCCCUGGGUUAAUACCCUGGGGUCAUGACGGUACCGUAAGAAUAAGCACCGGCUAACUACGUGCCAGCCGCCGCAGUAAAAC
rnacentral:rRNA from 1 species